AAGCAAGAAACUGGCAAGGUUAACUAAGGAAAACACCUAAAUCUGUGUAAGGAUUGCAUGAGCCAUCUGAAGGCAGCUAGGAGCACCAAGUCUCAGAGGCCAAUCUGCAAAAGCUGAGCUUAUUAGCGCUUGCCUGGCAAGUUUUCCAAUGCUCCUUGUAGAGAUUCCAGCCCAGUGCUCCUUACUGGAAGAGGGCUGCUGACUCCUGGAAGGAACUCUGAAGACCAAGACACCGUGAGACAACGGUUUCUCUUCUAAAAUAACCUUUGAGUAGGAUUCUACGUUUGGAUAACUAUUGACCAGUGUGAAGAAGGAAUAAAGUGUGGACAUACCUGAAAAUAUUAUUUUAUAUAUUGUGAUCUCCCAGGCAAUUUCCCUACCUAAAUAUUGUAAUAUAAAUACAUACAUUAACAGAAUGAAGAAGAAGUGGGUGAGUAUGGGCCUAAGAGAGAGAAAGUUAAAAUCACAACUACUAGUAUCACAAACUAACAGAUAAUGGCUAAAUGAAUGAGUAUGAAAUAGCAGGCCAAGAAACACAGCAAAUUGAGGAAACAUUUAAGACACACAAGAUGCUAAUACAGGGCAAGAGGCCUUUUUUUUUUCUUUAUAUAAACCUGUGAUAUAAACUCGUUUAUUUUACUGUGUGUACACUUAGCGAUUUUGAAAGAAAUAAAGAUAUAAAUUUAAAUGAACUAGAGAAACAGUAUAUGUGUGGAAAAAUAC